rnacentral:rRNA from 1 species
GAUGAACGCUAGCUACAGGCUUAACACAUGCAAGUCGAGGGGAAACGGCAUCGAAAGCUUGCUUUUGAUGGGCGUCGACCGGCGCACGGGUGAGUAACGCGUAUUCAACCUGCCCAUCACUUGGGAAUAACCUUGCGAAAGUAAGACUAAUGCCCAAUGACAUCCCACGAAGGCAUCCGAAUGGGAUUAAAGAUUUAUCGGUGAUGGAUGGGGAUGCGUCUGAUUAGCUUGUUGGCGGGGUGACGGCCCACCAAGGCAACGAUCAGUAGGGGUUCUGAGAGGAAGGUCCCCCACAUUGGAACUGAGACACGGUCCAAACUCCUACGGGAGGCAGCAGUGAGGAAUAUUGGUCAAUGGGCGAGAGCCUGAACCAGCCAAGUAGCGUGCAGGAUGACGGCCCUAUGGGUUGUAAACUGCUUUUAUAAGGGAAUAAAGUGGGUCACGUGUGACUUUUUGCAUGUACCUUAUGAAUAAGGACCGGCUAAUUCCGUG